AUGAGUUCCUACUCCAUACAUUCAGAAACAGCCUCGGGAAGCGCUAAUGAGUCCAGAACACGGAGAUAACUCAUCCUCAAACGUCUCUCUAAUCUCAUUAACUAAAUCCGUCCAAGCACAACAUAACUUUUUAGUUAUGCCGCACUCAACGUCGCCAUAAUCGAGAUAUAAUAUAUAUAUAUAGAGAGAGAGAGAGAGAGUGUGUGUGUGUGUGUGUGAGAGAGAGAGAGACUGAUGAUGAAGACAUAUAAAACGGCCAGAAAGAAAACGGUCGAUGAAGAAUUAGGUUCGAUCAUCAACCUCUCUAAUCUUACAGAAUGCUUUGUUGGUACAGUGGAUCUAGUUCCAAAUGCUGUUAUUAUUUUUAGCAUCUAUUCAAUCAGAUUAUUGAAAUUUAUCUUGGGUACGGUGCUUCCGCAUGCACAGCAAAAGACAGAAAUUAUUCAAGAAAAGGCUGAAGAUACAAGUAUGAUUUCUUCAUGUUUGCCUGGUGCCGUUCAUCGCCGCCAACGAUCAAUGAGGAGGGUUAAUCACAAGAAUUUAACUGCUGCUCCAAAUGAUGUUAACCUUCAGCACGCAACUGAAGAGUUUCCUGGACAUAACAUCAUGGAACACCACACAAGCCAGCCACACUCUGUGGUACGUCGGCGUGCUCGUCGAAAAAGAAAAAGAAAAAGUAGACGAGAAGCUGAACAAAGUAGUGAUACUGAAGUAGUUCCAUCAAGUUCUUUUGGUUCCUUCCGCUGCCGUGAAAGAUCAAAGAGAAUCAACAGCGUUGGUGGAAUCACCCAGCAGCAGGGGAAAAUGGACACUGAUACGUUUGAAUGCUACUUGGGGAAAUUAUGGAGGAGCCUCUCAGAGGAGAAGAGUAAUUCAUUCACAUAUCUUGAUUGCUUGUGGUUUAUAUUGUACAUGAAGGGUGAUGCCAAAGAAAGGGUGUUGAAUUGGAUUAAAAGGAAGAAUAUUUUCUCAACAAAAUACGUCUUUGUUCCCAUUGUUCAGUGGUGUCACUGGAGUCUCCUGAUCUUCUGUCAUUUCGGUGAAAGUACACAGUCGAAAACCAGAACUCCAUGCAUGCUGUUGCUGGAUUCACUGCAAAUGUCAAAUCCAAAGCGGCUUGAACCUGGGAUAAGGAAGUUUGUGUUUGACAUAUAUGAAUCAGAGGAUAGGCCAGAGAACAAAAAACUGAUUAAAAAAAUACCUCUUUUGAUUCCCAAGGUGCCGCAGCAGAGAAAUGGUGAAGAAUGUGGCAAUUAUGUUCUCUACUAUAUUAAACUUUUCAUAGAGAGUGCUCCCGAAAAUUUUAGCAUAGCUGAGGGCUACCCUUACUUUAUGAAAAAAGACUGGUUUACUACUGAAGGCUUGGAAUGCUUCUGCAAAGAACUUGAUUCAUUUUGCCACUAAAUUAUACAGGUCUGGCAGAUUGCUUUUAUGCACAAUUUUUGUAUACUGCUGUCAUAUUUUGCUAUACAGGUACAUCACAAGGAUGAAUAUGUCGAGGUUGUGUUCGGCUGAACGAUCAAAUGUGCAUAACAAGGAUGAAUAUGUCGAGGGUGUGUUCAGCUGAAAGAUCGAAUGUACAUAACAAGGAUGAAUGUGUAGAGGGAGUGUGUUUGGUUGAAAGAUCAAAUGUCGGUUGAAUGUAUAAGUUUCCUUUUGGCUUUUGGAUACGUGUACUUCUGAACAAUUUGAUACAAUUGAAACUGAAUGUGCAUCAAAGUUUUACAAAAUCACCCCAGGAAAUAGGGUAUGCCUUCAAGUUUUACAAAACCACGUAGAAGGUCUGUGUAAUAUUGACAAAGUUGAGGGAAGGUAAGUGGAAUUUAUUCAAUUUUUUUUUACCGUAUAAGUAGAUUUUGCCCAUUUUAAACUAGAAGAGAUGCAGCCUAUUGGGUUUUGCUAGCUCUGCUUUUUAUUUGGUGAAAUCUUUAACGAUGUUUUUAUCGUAGACGCGAGAUUUAACAAGAAUUACGUAAUAUCUUUGUGGGGGUGUGUUGUAUUUUUAUAUUUUUCGUGAGUUUCUUGAUUGUGAAUUUGCAAUAAGGAAGUUUAUCGUUUUGCAUUGUGUAUAUUGCUUCUUCUGUUGUAACCUAAACUAUUCUGGGUAGAUUGUUUUUUUCUUUUUUCCUUA